rnacentral:rRNA from 1 species
AGUGAACGCUGGCGGUAGGCCUAACACAUGCAAGUCGAACGGCAGCACAGUAAGAGCUUGCUCUUACGGGUGGCGAGUGGCGGACGGGUGAGGAAUACAUCGGAAUCUACUUUUUCGUGGGGGAUAACGUAGGGAAACUUACGCUAAUACCGCAUACGACCUACGGGUGAAAGCAGGGGAUCUUCGGACCUUGCGCGAUUGAAUGAGACGAUGUCGGAUUAGCUAGUUGGCGGGGUCACGGCCCACCAAGGCGACGAUCCGUAGCUGGUCUGAGAGGAUGAUCAUCCACACUGGAACUGAGACACGGUCCAGACUCCUACGGGAGGCAGCAGUGGGGAAUAUUGGACAAUGGGCGCAAGCCUGAUCCAGACAUACCGCGUGGGUGAAGAAGGCCUUCGCGUUGUAAAGCCCUUUUGUUGGGAAAGAAAAGCAGCAGGUUAAUACCCCGCUGUUCUGACGGUACCCAAAGAAUAAGCACCGGCUAACUUCGUG